GACGGCAUACGAGGCUGUGCUGUACUGGUUUGCAACAUCUGUCACUGGCUUACAUAGCUGUUAAUCUUUCAUUUCAUGUUCAGACUUAUCAGUAUUCAUUAAAGACCCUCCAUUUGUGCAAGACCUUCUGGGAAAGAGUGCCCUAUCUCGGUGUCUUAGAUUUAACAACAACGACAAAAAGGUUCCAUUUUAGACACUUUUUUUGAUCAGGCAGCAGGCAGUCUCUGGCUGUGGGAGGUGGGAACCAGUCAUAUAUGCAUAUGACCAAACAGCUUUUCUACUGGAGAAGUUUAGCAUUGGUAAGAGAAGGUGUUCCAAGUUGAUGUUUAAAUCCACCCAUUUCCAUUUUGCUUCCUUACCUACAAGAAAAUUUAGAAGUUGGUGCAAAUGGCAUUUCCAUGAGUACUUCUCAUGCAUCUUUGCAUAUUUCACCUGGGGGGAAGCACAGAGGCUGAGCCUGGGAGGCUGGAUCCGCGAGGGCGCGUCACCUCGCCUACUUGGGAGUCCAGGCACAUGCACAGCGUCUAAAGGUCUAAACAGAAAGAUGGGAUGUCCUGCCCCAGCAAAAAUCUAAUGAUUUUCUCUCUCUGUAGGAGAAAACGAAUACAGCAGGGAUGACUUCCACCAGCUCCACUUUGCAGCUCUGAGGUGUAUUAAAAAUGUAAGAAAUGCA
rnacentral:sRNA from 1 species